rnacentral:rRNA from 1 species
CACAGCCGCGGGAAUACGAGGGGGGCAAGCGUUGUUCGGAAUUAUUGGGCGUAAAGGGCGCGUAGGCGGUUUGGCAAGUUUGGUGUGAAAUCUUCGGGCUCAACUCGAAGUCUGCAUCGAAAACUGCCGGGCUUGAGUAUGGGAGAGGUGAGUGGAAUUUCCGGUGUAGCGGUGAAAUGCGUAGAUAUCGGAAGGAACACCUGUGGCGAAAGCGGCUCACUGGACCAUUACUGACGCUGAGGCGCGAAAGCUAGGGGAGCAAACAGGAUUAGAGACCCCUGUAGUCCCUGUCUCUUAUACA